rnacentral:rRNA from 1 species
CGAGCGGCAGCGCGGGGCAACCUGGCGGCGAGCGGCGAACGGGUGAGUAAUGCAUCGGAACAUGUCCAUGUCGUGGGGGAUAGCCCGGCGAAAGCCGGAUUAAUACCGCAUACGCCCGAGAGGGGAAAGUGGGGGACCGCAAGGCCUCACGCGAUUGGGUUGGCCGAUGUCCGAUUAGCUAGUUGGUGGGGUAAAGGCCCACCAAGGCGAUGAUCGGUAGCUGGUCUGAGAGGAUGAUCAGCCACACUGGGACUGAGACACGGCCCAGACUCCUACGGGAGGCAGCAGUGGGGAAUUUUGGACAAUGGGGGCAACCCUGAUCCAGCCAUUCCGCGUGAGUGAAGAAGGCCUUCGGGUUGUAAAGCUCUUUUGUCCGGAACGAAACGGUUAGCGUGAAUAGCGGUGACUACUGACGGUACCGGAAGAAUAAGCACCGGCUAACUACGUGCCAGCAGCCGCGGUAAUACGUAGGGUGCGAGCGUUAAUCGGAAUUACUGGGCGUAAAGCGUGCGCAGGCGGUUUUGUAAGCCAGAUGUGAAAUCCCCGGGCUUAACCUGGGAAUGGCAUUUGGGACUGCAAGGCUGGAGUGCG